rnacentral:lncRNA from 1 species
AGGCGUAUGACAACGGUGCAGAACUUCCUGAUGCAGUGCGCCGAGCGCCAGCAGCCAGGUAGCUCCAACCCACUCGUGUUCCUCAUGAUGGCCUGUUCGGACGCCAAGUACUUGGACGGGACGGCUAAUUGCAUGUUCGGUCAGGAAGAGGCCAUCUUUAACAAAGCUGA